AAUCAACGCUGGCGGCGCGCUUAACACAUGCAAGUCGAACGAGAAAGUCCGCAAGGAUGAGUACAGUGGCGUACGGGUGAGUAACACGUGGAUAAUCCACCUCUUUGUGGGGAAUAACUUUGGGAACCGAAGCUAAUACCGCAUAAGCCUGAGAAGGGAAAGCCGCAAGGCGCAGAGAGAGGAGUCCGCGGCUGAUUAGCUAGUUGGUAGGGUAAAAGGCCUACCAAGGCUGAGANCGGUAGCCGGCCUGAGAGGGCACACGGCCACACUGGCACUGCAACACGGGCCAGACUCCUACGGGAGGGCAGCAGUGGGGAAUCUUGCACAAUGGACGAAAGUCUGAUGCAGCGACGCCGCGUGCGCGAUGACG
rnacentral:rRNA from 1 species